GUGAUCCAAUUAAAGCAGAUGAGAUCAGAUGGCAAGUUGCUAGGAGUAUUAAAAACUUUAAUGAUAAGGAUUUGAGAUCCAUGCGAGUGAAAGUCAAAAAUGCUGAAAAAUGGUUGGAGAGUAAUAGGGUGGUAUGUGCCAGGGAUGACAAAAGCAAGUUGAUUGUUUUGUUAAAAAAGGAUAUGUAUGAUUCCUUUGUUAAUGGUUUUAUAGUAGAAAGUGGUUCCGAGAGGCUGGAUUACGAUCCAACAGAAAGAUUAGAGAAAGAAGUCCAAUCUAUAUUAAGAGAUAGUAAAUUACCAACUUUCUUGAAAGGGUCAUUGGUUAAGUCACCCAGACUCCCAUGAUUGUUUGCCUUUAUUAAAAGGCAUAAACAUCUGCUAGAGGCAAGACCAGUUGUGGAAAAGAUUUCAGCUCCAACAUACAUCCUUGAGAAAAAGCUGGCUAAAUAGUGCUUAGAUAGACUUAAAAACUAUGAACAUACUGUAACAUCUUCAAUGAGCCUGAUAUCUCUUAGAAGUGGGAC
rnacentral:lncRNA from 1 species